rnacentral:tRNA from 1 species
GGCGCCGUAGCCAAGUGGUAAGGCACGGGACUGCAAAUCCCUGAUCCCCGGUUCAAAUCCGGGCGGCGCCUCCA